GGCCAACAAAACAUAAGACUCUAAUUAAGUCAAAACACUUUGUGUUUCUAUACAAGUUCUGUGAAGCCUUAUAUUGGGUUAAUUUUAAGAUCAAGUGCUUUGCGUUAAUGAAUUAAUGUAAUAUAUGUGUUGACAUAUUGUCGUUCUUUGCUUAUAUAAAAGCAAAUGUCAAAUUAGCCUCAGCUCAGACUCAGAUCAAAUUGCAAAUUUUGCUUUGCGAUUUUCUUCUUUUGAUGGAUGUAAACGAGUGGAUGAGUUACGAAUGUUCAGAUGAGGGUAUAUACACUCAGAACAUUCAUAUAUUAUACAAUCACUCAUCUAUUCAUUCACAUCCGUCAUAAGAAGACACACUUGAAAUCGCAGCAAAAAUUGAAAGUGUAAUUAAGGGGGAGAGGGGGAGGGGCGUAAUGUCAACCUCCACCCACCCCUGGACACACUUUUUGUCAUUUGAUUUUAUUCCCGUUACACUUUCAGUUUUUAUUUUGCUCUUACUUUCAGUUUUUUUUUU